GGGGCUGUAGCUCAGUGGUAGGUAGAGUGCCUGCCUAGCACGCAUGAGGCACUGGGUUCGAUCCUCAGCACCA
rnacentral:tRNA from 1 species